rnacentral:rRNA from 1 species
UACGGGGGGAGCAAGCGUUGUUCGGAUUUACUGGGCGUAAAGGGCGCGUAGGCGGCCACCGCAAGUCAGUUGUGAAAUCUCUGGGCUUAACCCAGAAAGGUCAACUGAUACUGCGGGGCUAGAGUGCAGAAGGGGCAACUGGAAUUCUCGGUGUAGCGGUGAAAUGCGUAGAUAUCGAGAGGAACACCUGCGGCGAAAGGCGGGUUGCUGGGCUGACACGUGACGCUGAAGCGCGAAAGCUAGGGGAGCGAACGGG